ACAAUGCGGCCUGCUUCUGGUACCCAAGGGUUUUGCGCUUGGGUUUAAUCGGGAAGCCGGUGCGCCUGAGGUUGGGGUUUCCCCUUCGCGGCAAUGCCGGCACUGCCCCCGCAACGGUAAACGACGUACACCCUUUUUGGCGCCCUGGUGCCUCAAGGCUGUGCGCAACAGCGACACGCCACUGUGUUCAUACACGGGAAGGCGCUGUUUCAGGAUGCAACUGCGUUCUGUCGUGAGUCCGGAGACCGGCCAAAAGCACUUGUCGGCA
rnacentral:ncRNA from 2 species